CCUUUGAUGACGACUGGCGCACGGGUGAGUAACGCGUAUCCAACCUUCCCAUAACUACGGGAUAACCCGUUGAAAGACGGCCUAAUACCGUAUGAUAUCGUUUGCUGACAUCAAAUAACGAUUAAAGGUUUAGCGGUUAUGGAUGGGGAUGCGUCUGAUUAGCUUGUUGGCGGGGUAACGGCCCACCAAGGCUACGAUCAGUAGGGGUUCUGAGAGGAAGGUCCCCCACAUUGGAACUGAGACACGGUCCAAACUCCUACGGGAGGCAGCAGCU
rnacentral:rRNA from 1 species